UACAGAGGUCCCAAGCGUUGUUCGGAUUCACUGGGCGUAAAGGGUGCGUAGGUGGUGAGGUAAGUCGGAUGUGAAAGCUCGGAGCUCAACUCCGAAAUGGCAUUGGAAACUACCUUGCUCGAGGGUUGGAGGGGGGACUGGAAUACUUGGUGUAGCAGUGAAAUGCGCAGAUAUCAGGAGGAACACCAAUAGCGAAGGCAGCUCGCUGGGACGGUACUGACGCUAAGGCGCGAAAGCGUGGGGAGCGAACAGG
rnacentral:rRNA from 1 species